rnacentral:rRNA from 1 species
CGUGAAAGCCGCAAGGCGAGUAAAGUGGCGGACGGGCGAGUAACACGUAAUCAAGCUGCCUGCGAGACGGGAAUAACCUCGGGAAACCGAGGCUAAGACCCGAUGGUCUCCUGGGACCGCAUGGUUCCUGGAGUAAAUGGGCGGGAUCCUCCGGGACCGCCUGCUCGCGGAGGUGAUUGCGGCCCAUCAGCUAGUUAGUAAGGUAACGGCCUACCAAGGCGACGACGGGUAGCCGGCCUUAGAGGGUGGUCGGCCGCACUGGGACUGAGACACUGCCCAGACUCCUACGGGAGGCUGCAGUCGAGAAUCUUCCGCAAUGGGCGCAAGCCUGACGGAGCGACGCCGCGUGGAGGAUGAAGGCCUUCGGGUUGUAAACUCCUGUCACGAGUUAAGAAGGUGUAGACGCGAACAGUCGUCGACUUGACGUAAGCUCGAGAGGAAGCACUGGCUAACUCUGUGCCAGCAGCCGCGGUAAUACAGAGAGUGCGAACGUUGUUCGGAAUCACUGGGCUUGAAGCGCACGUAGGCGGCAUCGUAAGUGUCGGGUGAAAUCCCACGGCUCACCCGUGGAACUGCCCGGCAGACUGCGGUGCUCGAGUGUGGUAGGGGAGAACGGAACUCCUGGUGGAGCGGUGAAAUGCGUAGAUAUCAGGAGGAACACCGGUGGCGAAGGCGGUUCUCUGGUCCACAACUGACGCUGAGGUGCGAAAGCCAGGGGAGCAAACGGGAUUAGAUACCCCGGUAGUCCUGGCUGUAAACGAUGGGCACUAGCUUGUGGUCUCCCUGU